rnacentral:rRNA from 1 species
UUGAACGCUGGCGGCAUGCCUUACACAUGCAAGUCGAACGGUAACAGGUCUUCGGAUGCUGGCGAGUGGCGAACGGGUGAGUAAUACAUCGGAACGUGCCCGAGAGUGGGGGAUAACGGAGCGAAAGCUUUGCUAAUACCGCAUACGUCCUGAGGGAGAAAGCGGGGGAUCUUCGGACCUCGCGCGAUUGGAGCGGCCGAUGUCGGAUUAGCUAGUAGGUGAGGUAAAGGCUCACCUAGGCGACGAUCCGUAGCGGGUCUGAGAGGAUGAUCCGCCACACUGGGACUGAGACACGGCCCAGACUCCUACGGGAGGCAGCAGUGGGGAAUUUUGGACAAUGGGCGCAAGCCUGAUCCAGCCAUGCCGCGUGAGUGAAGAAGGCCUUCGGGUUGUAAAGCUCUUUCGGCCGGGAAGAAAUCGUGGUCUCUAACAUAGGCCAUGGAUGACGGUACCGGACUAAGAAGCACCGGCUAACUACGU